CGCAGCCCCUGCACCUCGCUGCUCCUCGGCCCUCGCGGCCCAAACCUGGCCCUGCCGGGUCCCAGCCCCCAGUGGCUUUCGGGACAGGGGCGGAGCCGGGCACCGGUUCUGUUCCCCUAACCCUUGGCCUCUGGCCUGCUGGUAUAGAAGAGGCCGAGAGGCGGCGCCCGGGAGGGGCCAGCCCUGCGCCCGCGCCCCCCGCCCCCACGCCGCAGGAAGUGGCCCGGGCGGCCUAGGAAGGGGAAGAGCCGAGUUGCCCCAGCCCCGCACCCCCAGCCCCAGCCCCGCGUGCAGCUCGCACCCCUUCCCACGCCUGUUCGGGGGAGAGCCCCGGGCCUGGAGUGGGAAGCCUGGCUCCAGCUCUGGUUACCUGCAGUGACUCCCCAGGCCGUUUAGGCGAGUCCAUUGGGCCGCCUCUGCCUCGGUUUCCCCACCUAACCACGGAAGGUGCUCCUCCCUUCCAGGCAUCUGUGGUCUUCGAGCUCCACGCGGGAGAGGCGCCGGUCUGGCACCUCCUGCCCAGGGUCGGCGCCUCCUGGCUCUCGGGGAGGGGGGCAUCCUCCAUCCCCUGCACCUGCCUCGAGAGGAACCAGGGACAGAGCACCCCCACCCCCACCAGGAGCUCCGGAAAAACGGCUUCAGAAGAGCAAAUAUACACACACACCCACCUCCCGCCCCAAACAUCCCCGAAGAAAGGUAACCACAGAAACAGCCAGAAAUGUGGAGCUGGGCGAUCGUAUGAGGCUGAGACAAAACUGUCUUUCUAGCGUCUCUAGGGGAGAGCUUGAAUCCCUCCUUCCACUCCUCCUCCACGGAAAACAGAGUGAACUCCUGCUACAGAGGCCGCCAGAGCAACAUGCAAGACCAGCUUUGAGGGGAGCGGGCACAGGGCCUUGCAGGGAAGGUGGGCCGAGCCCAGACCCCUCAUUCUUACUUGGCUCUGAAGGCGGAAAGGCAAAGCUAGACCUCGAGGAAGUUCCCCUCCCUGUGGGCCCUACAGUGAAGAUUACAUGAAGGCAUGUGGGCGGUGGACCAGAGUGCACCGACUGAUGAAGGCGGCCCGGUACCCGCGGGUGCCAUGCCUCCUUCUUAGCCAAGGCCACUCUAGCUCCCCGUGAAGUAUCCAGGUAGAAGGCUGGUGGGGUUACAGGAGUGUAUCUCUCUCAGAUGAGAUACAAGUUGGUCCCUUCCCUUGCGUCCCUCCUGUUCCUUCAAGAGGAGGACUGUCUACCCACCCCGAAGCUUCAUGGAGAGAGAGCACACCGUCGUUAUUCAAUAUGUAGUUUUGAAUUUAACUAGAGCAAAGAAGAAAGCAAAUUCAGCUGAGAGGCAGACAGUCUGGGAAUAAAAUGGCAGUGCCAGCUAAUGGGGACCCAGUCUUCUUAUCUCCUGUUUCUCUGCCCUGCAUGGUCUUUAUUCCCGAAGUCACAUCAUGGCCCAGAAUGGCUGCAAAACCUCUAGCAUUUACUUCCUUAUUCCAGGUGGAAGGAAGAAGAAAAGGGAAAAGGGCUGUCCCCAUCCUUCUAAGGAGAUGGUGCAGUGGCUCACCUUUGGGAGGCCGAGGCAGGCAGAUCACUUGAGCUCAGCAGUUUGAGACCAGCCUGGGUAACAUAGUGAAACCCCAUCUCUACAGAAAUUAAAAAAUUAGCCAGACAUGGCGGCGCACACCUGUGGUCCCAGCUACUCAGGAGGCUGCGGCAGAAGUAUGCCUUGAGCCAAAGAGGCAGAGAUUGCAGUGAGCCAAGAUCAUGCUACUGCACUCCAGCCUGGGCAACGAAGCAAGACUGUCUCAGGAAAAAAAAAAAAAAUGAUCAUUUUUCUCUGUCCACUUGGUGGGUCAACUGAAUGGUAUUCCUGUGUCUUCUACUCUCCUCCCACUUGGAAACCCACUGAGAUGCUCUUCCGAAGGCCAGUGCAUGCUGGGCCACACGAGACAGAGCUCAGGCUGGAGGAGCCUCAUACCCGCCCCUCUAGAUGCUUAUAAAAAUACUUCCCACCUUUGAAUCAAGUGGAAAAUGAGGCUCUCCAGUCAAAAGCCGCGACUGUAUAGAAAGCCCUGAGUUGCCCAAUCUGUUCACAUGGCAUCACCAACCUCUGUGUCAUCAUCAAGCUGUCCAGGGGACUCGAUGGCCACCUGGCCAGGAACUGCGGGCUGAUUGGAAGCUGUUGUUCCCAUUGUAUAAUCACACACAUCAUAAAAUAAUCAGUCUUGUCUCUAUUUACAAUUUUGAUGUUUUGUUCAUCACAAAUUUUUAUAUUAAUUUUUAGUUUAACAAACAUUGCACUAAAAUAAUGUUUCUCUUGAUGACCGAGUUUGGGUGCCCUUUCUAUUCUGUGUACAAGAUGAGAGCCUCACUGGCCUCCCCCAAUCCUGGCACUGCCGGAGGCUUUCCUGCGCCCCCUGUGUACUUGUAAGUGC
rnacentral:lncRNA from 1 species